rnacentral:lncRNA from 11 species
CUCUGAUUGGCUACUUUUCCAUUCCGUGCAAGGCCGAAGGGCGUCAAGGGAGUUGUAGUCUCAAGUUCCUCUGAUCGAUGCCUAUGCCCCCCCGUCUAACCCAGCACGCAUCAGGAAGGGCAUAGAGAGCGUUCCCCAAGAUGGCGGCUGUUUGUCUUCGCUUUCAGGGCCUUGUUUCUGCCACUGUGAAUCGAACUGCAGGCUUUAUUCUGCCUUUCAAAACUCCAACCAGAUCCAUCCACAAAAGCCACAGGGUGUGGGGAGAAGUGCAGACAAAGUCACAGCCUGGUGGACAGGUCUAUGAAGAUGUAGAAUAUAUUCCCACAAAGAAAGCCAAGAACCCCAUGAAGACAGUUGGUAUUGCUUGGUGAGCAUUGCAUUUGCUGUUUGCUUUAUGAAUGUUUCACUGCUCCUAGCCUUGUAACUAUUUGUAGCAUAGAAUGUUUGAAAAACCUAUCUGAGAGAAAGACAGGAAAGGAGUAGGGACUGUGUGACUCUCCACAGGUUUAGAUGGCGUCUCCUACCAUCUUUUAGCAUUUGUUACACUACCAAGGGCCAAUAGAAAUGAUAGUUGAGCAACACAUUUCCUGUUAUUGGGCCAUGAAACUUGUCCAUACAUGGGUUAUGUUCAAAACUGAGACUAACAGGACCCUGGGAAGAAAUAGGAUCUUGUGAUCUGGACUUUAAAUAAAAUCUGUGCUUGCUGAACUCUGAAACAAAGAAUCAGUCAUCAGAUUAUGCAAAAGGCAUAAAGUGAUAAUUUCUAAACACCUAAUUAGGAUGUUGGCAUUUGAGGCCUUGUUUAUGUGAAACAGAAUGAAAAGACUAAUGGUGUAUUGUAGGAAUUAGAAACCUUCCAGCAUCCCUUACAACUGGUCAAGCUGGUAGGUAUUGAUGGGAAAUUGAGCCCAUCAAUAUAUGGAGAGUCACUAAUUCUGUAACAAAAUUUCAUUGUGUUUUCUAGCUGUUAUACAGUAGAGUCUCACUUAUUCAAGCUAAACGGGCCGGCAGAACCUUGGAUAAGUGAAUAUCUUAGAUAAUAAGGAGGGAUAAAGGAAAAGCCUAUUUUCAACAUCAAAUUAGGUUAUGAUUUUACAAAUUAAGCACCAAAACAUGUUAUAC